UACGUAGGUGGCAAGCGUUGUCCGGAUUUACUGGGCGUAAAGAGCGCGCAGGCGGCUGGCCAAGUCCGAUGUGAAAGCUCCCGGCUUAACUGGGAAACUGCAUCGGAAACUGGUCGGCUUGAAGGUGGGAGAGGGUAGCGGAAUUCCCGGUGUAGUGGUGAAAUGCGUAGAUAUCGGGAGGAACACCAGUGGCGAAGGCGGCUACCUGGCCCAUUCUUGACGCUGAGGCGCGAAAGCUAGGGGAGCGAACGGG
rnacentral:rRNA from 1 species